AUUUUAUUUAACUAAUUAAGGAAUCAAAAUGGGUUAGUUAUCUUUGUUUGUUUGAGGCAGAGUCUUGCUAUCACCCAGGCUGGAAUGCAGAGGCAAGAAUAUGGCUCACUGCAGCCUCAACCUCUUGGGCUCAAGUGAUCCUCCCACCUCAGCCUCCCGAGUAGCUGGAACUACAGGCAGGCACCACCAUGUCUAGCUAAUUUUUGUAUUUUUUGUAGAGAUGGGUUUUACCAUGUUGCCCAGGCUGGUCUUGAACCCCUGGGCUGAAGUCAUCUGCCUGCCGUGGCCUCCCACAGAGCUGGGAUUAUAGGCGUGAGCCACUGUACCUGGCCUUGGUUAUCUUUAUAUCUACUUUUUCAUCCUAUCCUAAUCUUGAAAAAAUUUCCUCAUAUUUAGCAUCAUCGAGUGUAUGAGAUAAGACAAUUAGUCAACAUUUCCUGGCAACUAAUGUGAGAAAACAAAACCAUAAAUGGAAAGAAAAAAAUUAACAUUCAAUAAAAAAUUUUUCAUUGAUUCAUUUGCAAAAAUUUCUUAAAACAAGAAAUAAACAGAAAAGUUACGUAUCCAGCUUGUUGGUGUGUAAACAAGCAAGAGCUGCCUUAAGGCCCAGUGUGGUGGCUCACGCCUGUAAUUCCAGCACUUUGGGAGGCCACAGCAGGUGGAUCACCUGAGGUCAGAAGUUCGAGACCAGCCUAACCAACAUGGUGAAACCCCAUCUCUACUAAAAAUACAAAAUUACCAUGGUAGCAGGCGCCUGUAAUCUCAGCUACUUGGGAGGCGAAGGCAGGAGAAUUGCUUGAACUUGGGAGGUGGAGGUUGCAGUGAGCCAAGAUCAUGCCAUUGCACUCCAGCCUGGGUGACAAGACCAAAGCUCCAUCUCAAAAAAUAAAAAAGAGCUGGCUUAGUUUAUUCCAGGACCUGCCCCCAACUGAUACGUUGUCCCUCCCACCCUUACUGGGUGACAGAUGUCUUCAUAACUUCUAAUUUAGAUCUCAUAACUUUUCAUCCCCUCUUAGUUAUGAGAAUUCUGUCAUGCCAAUGUUUAAGAUUUUGUUCAGUCCAUUUAAGCUUCAUUCUCACAUAUGAUACAAACUUCUCCUUACUUGACUAUGGGAUUGUCCUUUCGAUGCGCUUGCUGCUGCCCUGGCUAACCCUGCAUGGUCAUCAGUACCAGACUGUCAUGGUUCCCUCUGUGUGGCAUGAAUUUAAAUGCUGGCCACUUGGUGGAGUGAUGGUCUGUUUUCACUCACGACACUUCUGACACCAGAUGUGUGGAUUUUCUCCCCCCAACAGCUGACCAAUUUUCCAGCUUUCUGGACACCAGUUGGGUGCCCUGCAAUUCAAUUCUUACACUAACCUGUCUCUCCUUAUCUACAAUAGAUUGACUUAUUUAACCCAAAUAUACAUAUAAAGUCGUUUUAGAAUUGCUAAGCCAUGCCUCUGUGAGAUACAAAUUUACCAACCAGAGUGCAGUUUUUGUAUACAGUUCUUUGUGUCCUUAUCUACAGUUAUAAGUCAAAACAUUGUUUUCCAACUUUGUCAGUUCUUUUUUCCCCAUCCCUUUCAGUGAGUUGAUAUCAUACAUUUAUAAUACAAUUAGAUUCAUUUGCCACAAUUUGCAUACCAUCCUGGGUUCCCUUGACAGUCUGUUCAUUUUUAAAAAAUUUGCAUACAAUAAAAGCCCCUUUG
rnacentral:lncRNA from 10 species